GACGAACGCUGGCGGCGUGCUUAACACAUGCAAGUCGAACGUGAUUUUUGUGGAAAUUCUUUCGGGAAUGGAAAUGAAAUGAAAGUGGCGAACGGGUGAGUAACACGUGAGCAACCUACCUUACACAGGGGGAUAGCCGUUGGAAACGACGAUUAAUACCGCAUGAGACCACAGAAUCGCAUGAUAUAGGGGUCAAAGAUUUAUCGGUGUAAGAAGGGCUCGCGUCUGAUUAGCUAGUUGGAAGGGUAAAGGCCUACCAAGGCGACGAUCAGUAGCCGGUCUGAGAGGAUGAACGGCCACAUUGGAACUGAGACACGGUCCAAACUCCUACGGGAGGCAGCAGUGGGGAAUAUUGCACAAUGGGGGGAACCCUGAUGCAGCGACGCCGCGUGAGCGAAGAAGGUUUUCGAAUCGUAAAGCUCUGUCCUAUGAGAAGAUAAUGACGGUAUCAUAGGAGGAAGCCCGGCUAAAUACGUGCCAGCAGCCGCGGUAAUACGUAUGGGGCGAGCGUUGUCCGGAAUUAUUGGGCGUAAAGGGUACGUAGGCGGUUUUUUAAGUCAGGUGUGAAAGCGUGAGGCUUAACCUCAUUAAGCACUUGAAACUGGAAGACUUGAGUGAAGGAGAGGAAAGUGGAAUUCCUAGUGUAGCGGUGAAAUGCGUAGAUAUUAGGAGGAAUACCGGUGGCGAAGGCGACUUUCUGGACUUUUACUGACGCUCAGGUACGAAAGCGUGGGGAGCAAACAGG
rnacentral:rRNA from 1 species